rnacentral:rRNA from 1 species
UGGGGGAUUUUUGGACAAUGGGCGCAAGCCUGAUGCAGCCAUGCCGCGUGUAUGAAGAAGGCCUUCGGGUUGUAAGUACUUUCAGCGGGGAGGAAGGUGAUGAGGUUAAUAACCUCGGCAAUUGACGUUACCCGCAGAAGAAGCACCGGCUAACUCCGUGCCAGCAGCCGCGGUAAUACAAG